GGGCUGCUCUGAGGGGUGCUGGGCCCUGGGCAGUGGCCGAGGCCCGGGAGGAUGGAGGGUAGAAUGAGGCUUUUCUGUUUGUUUUCAAGAAAUAAGGUAUUACAACAUUUGCACACGGGUGUGUGUUAUCUAAAUGUGUUAUAUGGUUUUUGAUCCUUGGAAAAACAGGUAUUUGGGGAUUCUCUCUGUAGCUUGGUUUCCAAGAUUAAAAAUAACUUUUCUUACUUUUCUAAGUAAUCAGCACCAUAUUGUAUUUUACUGACUAUACUUUGUUUUCCCUACAUGUAAGCAUUUUCAUCCAAGGAAGAGCCACAGAUAGUUUUGUAUGAACCAUAUAAUGCUGGAGUUGGGGCUUUUAGUGUGCUGGUCACCAGUAUAGUGUUCAUUGUACCUGACAGUUUCUCUGUAGAAGGAAAGAUGAUAAAAAAUAUCUCUCUACCUCCUGAGAAUGGCCUUGGCACACACUAAUAUUUGUAUAAUGCUUCAAAGAAGUAAAGGGCUGACUUAAUUGGUGAGGAAGAUUGGAUUUUGAGAUAUUUGACAAACUUUGACAUAUACGAAGGUAAUUUCUCUCCACUUCCACAAUGACUCCACCUCUAAGAAUACUACAGUGGCUGACUCAUUAGCAGAGAAAAGACUACGGUGGAGUUCACGAUCUGACAGCUUCACAUCUUUUAAAUAGGCUGGGAGAAUUUUAAAACACAAACUUUCUAAUGAAUUGAGUUGACACUCCGACUCUGUCAUCUACUAGCAGAAGUUUCAUUGUUUUUUAAAAAUCUAUUGGUUUGCAGGGCAGAUUAUAUUCUUGGAAGGCUUGCUGGUCCUAUGCACACGCAAGCCACUUUCACAACAGCAGAGAAGGUGAGGAGCUAUCUAAAGCAGCAAAGUCAGUUGGAGGCAGCUGUUGACAGCUGCUCACAUUCCCCAAGGCAGGUUUUAUCUGUGGAUAUAUAUGCUGCUGCAUAAAUAGACAUUGAUGAUCUUUGCAUGUGAUCACGCAAAACUACAUGCCACCAUAUUGUGUCAGAAAGAAUAGAGAGAAAGGAAUGAAUUAGGUAAGUCAGAGGGUCCUAUGAGAUCUUUUGGGGUUUGUGUUGCCCUCUGAGAUAGUUGAGGCACUUUUGGAUUCUCUUUUGACCUAGAGGUUACUGAGUUUAUGGCAGAGGUCGCUGGAGGUCAAAAGGAUAAACAGAGUUUCAGUAUGUCUUGACCCCACAAACAAAUUUCAGCUUUCUAUUUGAUCCAUGCAUUUGACAGAUUGUGUCAUAGUUGGUAGUACAUUCUCUGAACUAGAUUAGAGCAAGCUAAACUGUCUUACUGCUAAGGGCUUGCACCUUGAGAGCUCCUUUAAGUAGGACAGUUGGCUGGUUGAAUGGUGCCUGGCUUUGCUAAGCUGUGUUCACUCACUCCUGCCUUAGUAACAAGCCAGAGAGGAAAGCCCCCACCCUUCCCUUAACGCCUAAUUAUGUGCCUUCC